rnacentral:rRNA from 1 species
GACGAACGCUGGCGGCGUGCCUAAUACAUGCAAGUAGAACGCUGAAGGAGGAGCUUGCUUCUCUGGAUGAGUUGCGAACGGGUGAGUAACGCGUAGGUAACCUGCCUGGUAGCGGGGGAUAACUAUUGGAAACGAUAGCUAAUACCGCAUAAUAGUAGAUGUUGCAUGACAUUUGCUUAAAAGGUGCAAUUGCAUCACUACCAGAUGGACCUGCGUUGUAUUAGCUAGUUGGUGGGGUAACGGCUCACCAAGGCGACGAUACAUAGCCGACCUGAGAGGGUGAUCGGCCACACUGGGACUGAGACACGGCCCAGACUCCUACGGGAGGCAGCAGUAGGGAAUCUUCGGCAAUGGACGGAAGUCUGACCGAGCAACGCCGCGUGAGUGAAGAAGGUUUUCGGAUCGUAAAGCUCUGUUGUAAGAGAAGAACGAGUGUGAGAGUGGAAAGUUCACACUGUGACGGUAUCUUACCAGAAAGGGACGGCUAACUACGUGCCAGCAGCCGCGGUAAU